rnacentral:rRNA from 1 species
AACGAACGCUGGCGGCAUGCCUAACACAUGCAAGUCGAACGAGACCUUCGGGUCUAGUGGCGCACGGGUGCGUAACGCGUGGGAACCUGCCCUUAGGUUCGGAAUAACUCCCCGAAAGGGGUGCUAAUACCGGAUAAUGUCUUCGGACCAAAGAUUUAUCGCCUUUGGAUGGGCCCGCGUUGGAUUAGCUAGUUGGUAGGGUAAAAGCCUACCAAGGCGACGAUCCAUAGCUGGUCUGAGAGGAUGAUCAGCCACACUGGGACUGAGACACGGCCCAGACUCCUACGGGAGGCAGCAGUGGGGAAUAUUGGAACAUGGGCGAAAGCCUGAUCCAGCAAUGCCGCGUGAGUGAUGAAGGCCUUAGGGUUGUAAAGCUCUUUUACCCGGGAUGAUAAUGACAGUACCGGGAGAAUAAGCUCCGGCUAACUCCGUG